AUUGAACGCUGGCGGCAGGCUUAACACAUGCAAGUCGAGCGAGACCUUCGGGUCUAGCGGCGGACGGGUGAGUAACGCGUGGGAACGUGCCCUUCUCUACGGAAUAGCCCCGGGAAACUGGGAGUAAUACCGUAUACGCCCUUUGGGGGAAAGAUUUAUCGGAGAAGGAUCGGCCCGCGUUGGAUUAGGUAGUUGGUGGGGUAAUGGCCCACCAAGCCGACGAUCCAUAGCUGGUUUGAGAGGAUGAUCAGCCACACUGGGACUGAGACACGGCCCAGACUCCUACGGGAGGCAGCAGUGGGGAAUCUUAGACAAUGGGGGCAACCCUGAUCUAGCCAUGCCGCGUGAGUGAUGAAGGCCUUAGGGUUGUAAAGCUCUUUCAGCUGGGAAGAUAAUGACGGUACCAGCAGAAGAAGCCCCGGCUAACUCCGUGCCAGCAGCCGCCGCGG
rnacentral:rRNA from 1 species